rnacentral:rRNA from 1 species
GCAAUUAAACAUGGGUGCUUGCACCGGGUGGAUGAGUGGCGAACGGGUGAGUAACACGUGAGUAACCUGCCCCUGACUUCGGGAUAAGCCCGGGAAACUGGGUCUAAUACCGGAUACGACUGCCGGACGCAUGUCUGGUGGUGGAAAGUUUUUUCGGUUGGGGAUGGGCUCGCGGCCUAUCAGUUUGUUGGUGAGGUAAUGGCUCACCAAGACGACGACGGGUAGCCGGCCUGAGAGGGCGACCGGCCACACUGGGACUGAGACACGGCCCAGACUCCUACGGGAGGCAGCAGUGGGGAAUAUUGCACAAUGGGGGAAACCCUGAUGCAGCGACGCAGCGUGCGGGAUGACGGCCUUCGGGUUGUAAACCGCUUUCAGCAGGGAAGAAGCGCAAGUGACGGUACCUGCAGAAGAAGUACCGGCUAACUACGUGCCAGCAGCCGCGGUAAUACGUAGGGUACGAGCGUUGUCCGGAAUUAUUGGGCGUAAAGAGCUCGUAGGUGGUUGGUCACGUCUGCUGUGGAAACGCAACGCUUAACGUUGCGCGUGCAGUGGGUACGGGCUGACUAGAGUGCAGUAGGGGAGUCUGGAAUUCCUGGUGUAGCGGUGAAAAUGCGCAGAUAUCAGGAGGAACACCGGUGGCGAAAGGCGGGGACUCUGGGCUGUAACUGACACUGAAGGAGCGAAAGCAUGGGGAGCGGAACAGGAUUUAGAUACCCUGGUAGUCCAUGCCCGUAAACGUUGGGCCACUUAGUGUGGGGGGGCAUUUCCAACGAUUACUCCGCGACGCUAGCUAAACGCAUUAAAGUGUCCCCCGCCCUUGGGGAGAGUUACCGGUCCGCCAAAGGCCUAAUAGACUUC